UGAUCAGAAGCUGAAACAUUGAGCGUCUAGCUGUUAAUUAGAAGGUUGUAGAAUUAAAAUCCUACCUGUUCAG
rnacentral:tRNA from 1 species